rnacentral:rRNA from 1 species
UUAAAUUGAAGAGUUUGAUCAUGGCUCAGAUUGAACGCUGGCGGCAGGCCUAACACAUGCAAGUCGAACGGUAACAGGAAGCAGCUUGCUGCUUUGCUGACGAGUGGCGGACGGGUGAGUAAUGUCUGGGAAACUGCCCGAUGGAGGGGGAUAACUACUGGAAACGGUAGCUAAUACCGCAUAACGUCGCAAGACCAAAGAGGGGGVCCUUAGGGCCYCUUGCCAUCGGGCGUGCCCMGAUGGGAUUMGCUAGUAGGUGGGGNUAACGGCUCACCUCUGCSACSGAUCSMUAASSGGSCCGAGAGGAUCACC